rnacentral:rRNA from 1 species
UACGGGGGGAGCAAGCGUUGUUCGGAUUUACUGGGCGUAAAGGGCGCGUAGGCGGUCGUGACAAGUCACUUGUGAAAUCUCCGGGCUUAACUCGGAACGGUCAAGUGAUACUGUCGGACUAGAGUACAGAAGGGGCAACUGGAAUUCUCGGUGUAGCGGUGAAAUGCGUAGAUAUCGAGAGGAACACCUGCGGCGAAGGCGGGUCGCUGGGCUGAUACUGACGCUGAGGCGCGAAAGCCAGGGGAGCGAACGGG